rfam:Jatropha curcas cultivar GZQX0401 scaffold537_54, whole genome shotgun sequence.
UUGCUAUGAUGAGUACCAAAAUGUUGCGAAAGUUAGUGUGAUACUUGAUGAAAUUUCAUCCUGAGCGGUUACCUGAGCAA